rnacentral:rRNA from 1 species
UACGGGGGGGGCAAGCGUUGUUCGGAAUUACUGGGCGUAAAGGGCUCGUAGGCGGCCAACUAAGUCAGACGUGAAAUCCCUCGGCUUAACCGGGGAACUGCGUCUGAUACUGGGUGGCUUGAAUCCGGGAGAGGGAUGCGGAAUUCCAGGUGUAGCGGUGAAAUGCGUAGAUAUCUGGAGGAACACCGGUGGCGAAGGCGGCAUCCUGGACCGGUAUUGACGCUGAUGCGCGAAAGCCAGGGGAGCAAACGGG